rnacentral:lncRNA from 1 species
UUACAAUCGAUUGUUUUUGUCCAGUAAGGUUAAAACGUUUCAACUCUCUUAAGUUUCAGCGAAUGUUAGUUGUUUUAAAGUCCAUCAAUUCUUAUAAUAUGGAAUUGUCCUAUCUUGUAAACAACGAUUAACAUUCAAGUGUUACAUAUCAAAUAUGCAACACAUUAAGUCGAGAUUCAUAAAAUGGCUUAAGGACCUAAAGUUUAUA